rnacentral:piRNA from 7 species
GGGUCGGGGUUUCGUACGUAGCAG